rnacentral:rRNA from 1 species
GACGAACCGUGCGAACGUUAUUCGGAAUCACUGGGCUUAAAGCGCGUGUAGGCGGCCCGGCACGUCCGUCGCUGAAAGCCCCCGGCUCAACCGGGGAAGGGGCGCGGAUACGACCGGGCUGGAGGGGGGUAGGGGGAUCGGGAACUUCCGGUGGAGCGGUGAAAUGCGUUGAGAUCGGAAGGAACGCCCGUGGCGAAAGCGCGGUCCUGGACCCCACCUGACGCUGAGACGCGAAAGCCAGGGGAGCGAA